GCCCGUAUAGCUCAGUGGUAGAGCGCAUCACUCGUAAGCCCAUUCUGCGACAUGAUGAGGUCCACGGUUCAAUCCCGUGUGGGGGCA